rnacentral:rRNA from 1 species
UACGAAGGGGGCUAGCGUUGCUCGGAAUUACUGGGCGUAAAGCGCGCGCAGGCGGUUCUUUAAGUCAGGGGUGAAAGCCCAGAGCUCAACUCUGGAAUUGCCUUUGAAACUAGAGAACUUGGGUACGGGAGAGGUGAGUGGAACUGCGAGUGUAGAGGUGAAAUUCGUAGAUAUUCGCAAGAACACCAGUGGCGAAGGCGGCUCACUGGCCCGAUACUGACGCUGAGGUGCGAAAGCGUGGGGAGCAAACAGG